rnacentral:lncRNA from 1 species
UGAGAUGAUUCGUAGCAAGCAACAAGUAAAAAAAGUAGCAACGGUGCAGAAAAGUGGCCCAAUCCCUUUUGUAUCAAGGGACAAGCCUGGACAAAGUCUUAUAGGAGGAAAAACGCUCCCGAGGACACACGGGAAUUUCUGUGAUGCUAGUUUUCAUCAUGUUCAUAUGAUUCGCGUUCGUUACUUUGAUAGUUUGAUAUGUGGGUGGACCGGCGCUUGGGUACUGCCCUUACUUGGACAAGCAUACCACUUAUGAUU